CAUGUGCUCUGCGUAGGACCCCUUCUACAUCGUCCAGGAGGAGAUCCAGGGCUGGGUAAUCCCCCCAUCCCCUUCCGCCCUCCCUCCCUCCCCGGUGCCCCUUUCUCUUCCUCUGGUUGCGAAUUUUGAUAUGCUGCCGCUGUUUAUUUGGCUGCGCCAUGGCGUACUGUCAGCUGAAAACUGGUUCUUUAUUUUCUACUCCAGUACUGUAUGGAGUAGUAUAUAAGGACGUCUUACUGUAGUAUGGCUAAGGCAGUGACCAGCUUGGUAGUUAGUACUAGCUGAGAAAAUUCAUGAUGCUGGCUGGGAGCAAAAAAUUUAUAGGCUUAGUUGCUGUAUUGGUUCUGUAGUUGUAUGGGGAUAUAUGCAUAGAUAUGUAACGUGUGGGUUCCAAGCAUGUUUCCGAGAUUUUUUUUAAUUUUUUUGGCUCUUGCAACACUUGGAUUAUUUAUUAAUAUAACCCAGCAGCGAUGCUUCCAUUUUAACACAUGUACUAGUGUGCUAAAACUACUACUGUACCUACUUCUUCUUAGCCUGAGUAGUACAUCAGGCUUGUAUUAACUUGUGUUAAUUGUAUUAACUUGUAGCCUAUUCACUGCAGUCAUCUUGUGCUUUUAUCUUCUCUAUGAUGCCAUUUGCCUUUGAGUCUACUCAUUGAAUACCUUAUGCUCACAUAUAUUUUUAGUCCCUCUAUUUCCAUAAAUGUGACACUGUUUUGUUUCUAAAUACUUGACACAUACAAGUUUGAGGGCAUUAUCCUAAACCCUUGCUAUGAUUGAUCCAUCUCCUCUACUUUGUUACUUGUGCUUAAUUGAGAUGUUACUCAAGGGUAGUGUUUGGGCCAGCAUAUAUAAAUCAUAUGGUCGCUUACUUUAAUAUGUGUGUUGACUCAAAACUGUCAAAAUAUCUAGAAAGAGAGUGAACUCACUUAACAGAUUCUUUCAAUCUUCAAUGGUUAUGGUUUUUGCAUUAUAGAUUCUUAAUCUCGGCUGAUUCCAGAUUCUUCCAAGUGCUAGCUAGCUCCAAAAGCAAAUCGUCUUCAUUUGGAAGAUGCAACAUUCUACCAGAAUCCAUUCUCCUGCUCUUUUUCUUGUACUGUAUGUCAUCCAUUGUUCAACCCUGUUGGUAAGUUCUUGUAGUGUGUCGCUCUGUUCAGAAGUGCAUUUUUAUUUUAGGAUUCGCUUCCUGUGUGGUACUGGAUGGCUGAGUAUUAAAACAAUUUGGUUACUAUUGGAAGCACUUUAAUUCUCUAGAAUUAAACUUUGACAAGCAUGCAUAUAUGUGUUCAAUUUUUCUGGAUUACGUGAUGGCCUUCUACGAUUCUGUUUAACAACUUAAGUAUAUGUAUGAAUGUGCUCCAGUCCAUGAUUUAUUGUUCUAUUUAACAACUUAAGUAUAUGUAUGAAUGUGCUACAUUUAGAUCAACCUAUCAUAGAAAUCUGCUUAAUUUGAACCGGAAGUAGAUAGUACUAACAGUCAGAUUGUCUUCCAGUCCAUGUCUUUGAUGUACACCUGCUCUGCUGUUGUUAUUCGUUAAUAUACAUAUACAGUCAUAUGUAUAGUCACUAACACUUGGACUUGCCAAAACAUUCAUGCAGGCUGCUGGUGGAUGUGGUGGUGAUCCUCCUGUUAGGAGGUAGAGGAUGUGAGCUGAGCUGCUGUCUGGUCGAGGAAGAAAGUCACUGUCUUUACUAGUGAAACAAAUUGCUGCGGCAGCCAUGCUUGUGAGCUUAUGAUGUGCCUCUAGUUUAGUUUGUCGGUUUAUGUGAAUCGUUCUCUAUGAUGUAUGAUGUAUUGCUGCUGUUAGCUGUAAAUGUGAUGUAUGAUGAGUUGACUUGAUGGUUCGUUUGAGGUUGUCAUUGGAAUGGAUUAUCUCUUGUGAAGCUUACUGUUAGUUAACAUGAGUUAAACUAAUACAUACACUUGCUGU
rnacentral:lncRNA from 1 species